UACAGAGGUGGCAAGCGUUGUUCGGAAUUACUGGGCGUAAAGGGCGCGUAGGCGGCCUUCUAAGUCAGACGUGAAAUCCCCCGGCUUAACCUGGGAAUUGCGUCUGAUACUGGAGGGCUUGAGUGCGGGAGAGGGAUGUGGAAUUCCAGGUGUAGCGGUGAAAUGCGUAGAUAUCUGGAGGAACACCAAUGGCGAAGGCAACUUCCUGGGGCAAUACUGACACUGAUGUGCGAAAGCGUGGGGAGCAAACAGG
rnacentral:rRNA from 1 species